UACGAGGGGGGCAAGCGUUGUUCGGAAUUAUUGGGCGUAAAGGGUGCGUAGGCGGUUUGGUAAGUCUUAUGUGAAAUCUACAGGCUCAACUUGUAGUCUGCAUGAGAAACUGCCGGGCUUGAGCAUGGGAGAGGUGAGUGGAAUUCCUGGUGUAGCGGUGAAAUGCGUAGAUAUCAGGAGGAACACCUGUGGCGAAAGCGGCUCACUGGACCAUAACUGACGCUGAUGCACGAAAGCUAGGGGAGCAAACAGG
rnacentral:rRNA from 1 species